rnacentral:lncRNA from 1 species
GCCACCCUUCGGAGCGCACUUAACUCCCAGGUACGUAUUCUGCGACUCUAUGGAGAGCUGUAAUCCUCUCUCUCACUGACGAUAUCGCUGAGGGAGGUCCUGGACUUCGAGAUCUUUUCUGUGGUAGAGAUUACCAGGUUGGAAAAAAAUCAAGAUUCAAUUUAUAUGGUAUCUACAUAUAAUAAAGUUUAUUAAAUAUAAAGACUCAAAAAAAAAAAGAUACAACCAUAAAGGUGUUCUUGCUAUGCUUUGGAAAAAGACUGGCAGCAUUUUGCCCCUGCCCUGGAGAUCUUCUAAAGGGUGUAUGGUGGAGGAUGAUAUGCGUGCAUGUGUUCAUGCACACAUGUGCGCACAUGCACACAAACACACAUACACACACUUUCGUUGUCUUUGUGCAAGGAUGGCUGAGACCCGCCAGGUUAGGUGUCUGACCUUUUUUUAAUUAUUAUUUUUUAUUAUACUUUAAGUUCUGGGAUACAUGUGCAGAAUGUUCAGGUUUGUUACACAGGUAUACAUGUGCCAUGGUGGUUUGCUGCACCCAUCAACCUGUCAUCUACAUGACUUCCUGCUUUACUGGCAUACCCCCAUAUAUUUUUCAAAAAUCAAUAUAGUUCAAUUAACACAUAAUGAAAGACUGCAUUAUAUUUAAUUGUUUUGAAAAUAAGAUUUUCUCAAGCAUAUCUGUAUCUGAAACUUUUUUAAAAGGCAUUUUAAUUUUUAGUAAACUUGCAUUAUUU